rnacentral:tRNA from 1 species
UCCCUGGAGGACUAGUGGUUAGGCCACAUCGCUCUCACCACUGCGUCCUGGGUUUGAUUCCUGGUCAGGGAA